rnacentral:rRNA from 1 species
AUUGAACGCUGGCGGCAGGCCUAACACAUGCAAGUCGAACGAGUGGCGGACGGGUGCGUCAUGUCUGUGACACUGCCCGAUGGAGGGGGAUCACUCCUGGAAACGGUAGCUACUACCGCAUACCAUCGGAUGUUCCCAGAUGGGAUUAGCUUGUAGGUGAGGUAACGGCUCACCUCGGCGACGAUCCCUAGCUGGUCUGAGAGGAUGACCAGCAACACGGGAACGGAGACACGGUCCAGACUCCGACGGGAGGCAGCAGUGGGGAAGAUUGCACAAUGGGCGCAAGCCUGAUGCAGCCAUGCCGCGUGUAUGAAGAAGGCCUUCGGGUUGUAAAGUACUUUCAGCGGGGAGGCGUUACCCGCAGAAGAAGCACCGGCUAACUCCGUGCCAGCAGCCGCGGUAAUUC